CCCGGCGAUGUCCCGCCUCCCUGGUCUCCCUCCAGUCGCUGCGCAGUAUCCGUCUCGGCGUGUCCCGGCCACGGGAAAACCGACAGCCAAUCAGAAGGCUCUAUUUGUUCCUGCGCUGACAAACUGCCUGGGAGCCCCUCCUCCCCUUCAAUCAGUGGUGAACCAGGUGGAACAAAUCUUCCAGGCAAUCUGAGCGUGCCAGUAGCUGGCUCUGUUGUUGUCUUUAGACCGCAGUGGAAGGAGCAUUUAUAGCACCACAAAACCAAGGAAACUUGAUCUUUGUCAUUAAAGUGAUUGUGCAAGACCAAGCCCCCCACAAAACUGAAGGACAGCCGGUUUUUCAACUGCUUACUGCCCACCAAAGAUUGGUUAAUAAAAGACAAACAACUGAUCCCAUGGCUGUUGAGUGAAAUCCAGUUAAUAUCUUACCAAUUUCAUAGUAUCAAACUUUUGCGCAUCCAAUGAGAGACGCGGAUUUGUUCCAAAUUCUCAAUGUCCCGCCUCCAUUCUGCUGGUUUACCGCUGCGCGAGGGGCUCCACAUCUCUGGAGUCCUUCCACCUCAACGGGUUCAUCCCAGGGACCCGAGCUAAAGCGAAGCAUUUCCAGGCGUUCCUGGCCGAUGGACUGGUGAGGUGGAAUGAGGACCGCGCAGCUGCACCACCGACUGCAGCUGAGGGCCAGGGGAGCUCAUCGGCAUGGAGUUCCUGUACCAGCAGACGGGCAGAGUGCUUGAGGAUAUCAGCUUUGGACCCUGACACUCCGGACGAGGCCACUGCCGUUGAGUCGCUCGAGGAGGCCGUGGACGAGGGUUUCAAAGACUAUGUGAAGGACCCCACCGUCUUCGAGCCUGAUAUGGUGGCAGCAGCGGGUCAGGUGAUCCAGCUGACCCUCCCAGACUCCGGGUGAGGCAGCCCAAGGGGCGGUUCAAGGCAGCGAAGGGGAAGAAGUCCCAGUGGUUCUCUCGGCGCCAGAAGAGGGAGAGGUCUGUGCUGGAGCAGGGAACUGGCGUCGUCCUUGCUCCAGCUGUUGCUGACCAUACACUCCCUCCAGUUAAAGGGCUGUCCUCUGUGCAGGUGGGACAAGGACAGCCCUUUAACUACGACAUCCCCGACGAGGAGUAGACGGGAACAUCCAGCAGUUGGCCUCCUGCUCCUCCUCCGGGUGGCCUUCUCCCUGCUCCUGUUCCUCCUCCAGCGCCGCUCCCGGGUGGCACAGUCACAUCGGCCCCUGCUGUUCAGCCUCCUCCUCUUCCUGGAGCCCUGCGUGUGCCCAGGACAACGGCAUACAGGAAGAGGAAGGCUGCCGAGGCUGCUGCUGCAGCAGGGGUCUCGCAGCGAUAUCGCAGUACACCUGCAGCAGGUGUGGCCACCCCAAAAGGCUCAACACUGGCCACACCCGCAUCGCAGGUGUGUCAUACUGCGCGGCUGCCAGCGGGCAAACUUUGGAGGGAGGAGAUGAGGAGGCAGCGAGCAGAGGACCAAGGAAAGGGACAAUAGGGGACUUUUUUUUUUUUUUUAUCAUGAUUUAUUUAUUAUAUAUUUAUUCUGCUGCUAAAUGCUCCACAAUGUUCACCAGCCUGUCUGUUUCAAAUAAAAGAAUAAACGUGCACUU